GGCAUCCACUAUUGUAAACAUACUUUUAAACAUCGAGUGAAAUGUUAAUUGUGUCUAUUGUGUUUAUUGAAACUCAAGAAGAGUGAUUGUAAUUCUAUGAGUGCGGAAAUAAUUUUUAGAUGCAAAAUGAAGCAAAAAUGAAGCACAGAUUUAUAACUGCCGUAAACUGGAUAAUUUCAUUUUCGCUGCAAGUUCCUGUUGUAUUAGAUGUGGAACCAGUACCCUAUUUUCUUUCCAGUUAUAAAUCAUCGAAGCACAUGUGUGCGAUCAGGGAAAGUAUUAUCUAGAGAAGCCAAAUGAAGGUGGUCGAUGCAAGUAGUGUCGACCGUGUCAUAAAGGCUACUCUAUGGGAGGACCUUGCAAAGAGACUAGCGAUUUCAAAUGUGAGCCAUGUCCAGUUGGCACUUUCAGUGACAAAAGAAACGUUGUUUGUAAGAACUGCACAUUUGUAACAGGGAUUACUUCAUACGUAAACCAUGCUUACCUUAUAUGGACACUACGUGCCGCAGAUGUCCUGAAGGGACCUUUUCGGUAGAUGGAACUCAGUGGGCUUGUAAAUAUUGCAAAGCUUGUAGUGAAAAUCAAAACGAGAUCUUACGUUGCACAUCGGAAAGUGAUCGAUUAUGCGCAAAAGAUGCUCCGAUUGCCACCACAGACUCUGAAGUGAUAUGGAAAGAAACAGAAGUUGAAGACAAUGAUGAAUUUAAUACCCAUACCCGAUUGGUCAUGAUUGCCACUUGUACAGCGAUAUCAUUUGCCUUCUUAAUUGUCCUUCUCGCUUGGACAUUACAAUCUUACCAUCAUUUUUAAGACCAGUAUCAGAUGACGCUGUGUAAAAUCUGUGUUCUUUGACACGAGGAUGCUCAGCUGGAAGGUAUACAGUACUUGGGCACUGAAAAGUGUUAACAACACGUAUUGAUAUCGUUUCGAGAAUUCCGUUUGUUGAACUCUACGUAAUAACUGUCUGUGCAUUUAUUCGUUAUCAGUGAUUAAACGGCUUAUAUGUACGUAUCAAUGAUUACUAGAAAGUAUGUCUAUAGCCAUUGUUCGAUUUGAUUAAGAUCCAUAAAAUGAUUGAUUCCGGGCGAAAUGGGUAGCAAUCAGAAUACGCUCACAUGCAAGUGUGGGGUUACGGACUUAAAAGCAAGUUUAACCCACCAGUGACCAUUCUAAGAUAAAACCUCUAAAUUGGGUAAUGCACAUUUUCAUGCAAUUGUGAGAUUAACGAUUUAAAGACUAGUUUGAGCCGCAAGUGAUAUUGUUAAACAUAUGUUUUGAUGCAAGUGUGAGGUUAAAGACUUUAAACCUAGGUUAAACCCCCCAAUCAGUGAGUUUCUCUUUGAUGACCGUUCAAAUGCGAUUACCCACAAACUUGUUAAUAGACACUUUAAGAAGCAUGUGUACUACGUAUGCGUUCUUUUUUGUAUGUUGUCUGUGUGUGUAAGGUUAAACUUUUUGCUGCUGAGGCUGUUUCUGUAGCUUUUAGCAUAAAUAUUUUGUACAAUGUGCGAGAAAGGUGAUUUUGUGAGGAGACCUUGCAGACCAUACAAGGACACAAUAUGUAAGAUAUCUCUGAGUGAGACCUGCUCCAAGUAUGAAAAGAGAUGAGCUUGUUAAUUUUGCCAACGUUGUUGGGGUAAUCAAAUUGAGCAAAUGUACGCAAACACAAGAUACAACUUGUGGCGAGGGUAUGUAGUUAAACCUUCGGUAAAUC